CUGCUUUUCACCAAUGUAAAUAUUGCAAAGAUGAAAGAACUUAAAUUAUCGCAAUUGAAACUAGAAUUUCUUAACAUUCUGAAAGAUACAAGAUAACAACAAGCAGUUGCCUAGCUAAAUUGUUACAGAUUAUGUUAAAUCAGGAAAGGAGAAGAAGGAUAUAGCCCGUCAUGAUAAACAAUUUAAUGUAUCUCACAGUAUUGUUUUAUUGUUUCAUUUUGGAUUUCAUUUUCUCGGCUGAGGACAAGACCUGGGUGUUUGCUUUUAGUGGAAACAGAAAACCUUUGAAUUUUGAGGAUGAAAGAGUCGGCGUUUUAACCGGGUUUGAAGUAGAUGUGGUGAGAAAAGUUUGUCAAACAGCAAACAAGACGUGCGCGACGACAGUUUCGCCUUAUACGGAAUGUGUUCGUACCAUAGACAAUCAUUUCUACCCUGGACGAGGAAUAAUGUCUGGUUGGUUUGAUGCGUGUCCAGGUUAUACUAUAACACAAGACAGAAUAAAUUCCAUGGAUUUCACCCUUCCCUAUUAUAAAACAUAUGCUAAGUUUGCUGUAGCACCGGGCAAUCCCACCAACUUUACACUGGGAAAGUUGGCUUCGUCUACACUGACUCAUCUAUCUGGAUCGUAUACUAAUGAACAGUGUUUGGGUCGACUGGGUUAUAUAGUUGGCAAUGUUACUAUAUCUUAUAGUUUACAACAAGCUAAAGAAUCCAUAUUAACAGGAGAGAGCGAUGUGCUCUUUUCACCCAGAGGCCGAGUCCCAGGAUUGUGGGUGUUAGGGAAAACUCUACACUGUGAUCUGGGCGGUGUAGGUGUCAUGGUGAAAAAAGGGAGCGAACUCACAAGAUGGUGGAAUGAGGCCUUCACAACAAUUUAUGAUAAUGGUGAAUAUGAGCAAAUAUGUGACAAAUGGAGAGCUGACUACAGAGACUCCAUAAAAUGUUUAGAUCCUCGAAAAUCAGACGAAUUCCGAGUUGGCGAAAAAUGAUAGGCAUAUGAAAGUAUGAUGGCCAGAAAGGGGAACUAAUGUACGUGGUACACACCUGUUAGUGCGUGUAUUUCCAUGUUAACGAGUCGAUAAUGCCAUAUAAAUAUAAUAUGAUUAUAAUUUUCGCAUGUAUAUGUUUUGAAAGAGAGUUAUUCAGUCACGAUUGUAUCAAAUGUAAUAUGAUAAUAAUUUUGAAAGAUAGUUAUUCUGUCACGAUUGUAUCCAAGUGACUGAAAUUGAUGUAUU